GACGAACGCUGGCGGCGCGCUUAACACAUGCAAGUCGAACGGAAAGGCCUGCUUUCCCUUGUGGAUUGCGGGUACUCGAGUGGCGAACGGGUGAGUAACACGUGAGUGAUCUGCCCCCAACUUGGGUAUAAGCCUGGGAAACUGGGUCUAAUUCCCGAUAGGACUGCAGGGUGGUGCCUGUGGUGGAAAACGAUUUUCUAGUGGUUGGGGAUGAGCUCGCGGCCUAUCAGCUUGUUGGUGGGGUAAUGGCCUACCAAGGCGGCGACGGGUAGCCGGCCUGAGAGGGUGGACGGCCACAUUGGGACUGAGAUACGGCCCAGACUCCUACGGGAGGCAGCAGUGGGGAAUAUUGCACAAUGGGCGGAAGCCUGAUGCAGCGACGCCGCGUGGGGGAUGACGGUCUUCGGGUUGUAAACUCCUUUCGACCGCGAGGAAGCCACCUGGUUGGAAGGGUGGUGACGGUAGUGGUAGAAGAAGCACCGGCUAACUACGUG
rnacentral:rRNA from 1 species